rnacentral:rRNA from 1 species
GGGCGGCACCUUGACGGUACCUAACCAGAUGACCACGGCUAACUACGUGCCAGCAGCCGCGGUAAUACGUAGGUGGCWAGCGUUGUCYGGAAUUAUUGGGCGUAAAGGGCUCGCAGGCGGUUUCUUAAGUCUGAUGUGAAAGCCCCCGGCUCAACCGGGGAGGGUCAUUGGAAACUGGGGAACUUGAGUGCAGAAGAGGAGAGUGGAAUUCCACGUGUAGCGGUGAAAUGCGUAGAGAUGUGGAGGAACACCAGUGGCGAAGGCGACUCUCUGGUCUGUAACUGACGCUGAGGAGCGAAAGCGUGGGGAGCGAACAGGAUUAGAUACCCUGGUAGUCCACGCCGUAAACGAUGAGUGCUAAGUGUUAGGGGGUUUCCGCCCCUUAGUGCUGCAGCUAACGCAUUAAGCACUCCGCCUGGGGAGUACGGUCGCAAGACUGAAACUCAAAGGAAUUGACGGGGGCCCGCACAAGCGGUGGAGCAUGUGGUUUAAUUCGAAGCAACGCGAAGAACCUUACCAGGUCUUGACAUCCUCUGACAAUCCUAGAGAUAGGACGUCCCCUUCGGGGGCAGAGUGACAGGUGGUGCAUGGUUGUCGUCAGCUCGUGUCGUGAGAUGUUGGGUUAAGUCCCGCAACGAGCGCAACCCUUGAUCUUAGUUGCCAGCAUUCAGUUGGGCACUCUAAGGUGACUGCCGGUGACAAACCGGAGGAAGGUGGGGAUGACGUCAAAUCAUCAUGCCCCUUAUGACCUGGGCUACACACGUGCUACAAUGGACAGAACAAAGGGCAGCGAAACCGCGAGGUUAAGCCAAUCCCACAAAUCUGUUCUCAGUUCGGAUCGCAGCCGA